rnacentral:rRNA from 1 species
AGUGAACGCUGGCGGUAGGCCUAACACAUGCAAGUCGAACGGCAGCACAGUAAGAGCUUGCCCUUACGGGUGGCGAGUGGCGGACGGGUGAGGAAUACAUCGGAAUCUACUUUUUCGUGGGGGAUAACGUAGGGAAACUUACGCUAAUACCGCAUACGAUCUACGGGUGAAAGCAUGGGAUCUUCGGACCUUGCGCGACUGAAUGAGCCGAUGCCGGAUUAGCUAGUUGGCGGGGUAAAGGCCCACCAAGGCGACGAUCCGUAGCUGGUCUGAGAGGAUGAUCAGCCACACUGGAACUGAGACACGGUCCAGACUCCUACGGGAGGCAGCAGUAGGGAAUAUUGGACAAAGGGCGCAAGCCUGAUCCAGCCAUACCGCGUGAGUGAUGAAGGCCUUCGGGUUGUAAAGCCCUUUUAUUGGGAAAGAAAAGCAGCAGGUUAAUACCCCGCUGUUCUGACGGUACCCAAAGAGUAAGCACCGGCUAACUUCGUG